UAAUAUUCUUCCAAAACAUGAUAAUUGUGCAACAUUGCAAAUCCCCAAUAUUGGACACUGAAGUAGUUUCCUCAACAAUACCUUGGUUUCCGUUUUAUCACCAAGCAUUAGCGUAUACGUUAGACUGAGUCUGCAUACUUGUUAUUGUCUACCAGGGAAUAGAAUUUACCAAAUUUCUUAAUUAGAUUCUAGUUUGUAGGUAGAGUAUUUAG
rnacentral:lncRNA from 10 species